AGUGAACGCUGGCGGUAGGCCUAACACAUGCAAGUCGAGCGGCAGCACAGUAAGAGCUUGCUCUUACGGGUGGCGAGUGGCGGACGGGUGAGGAAUACAUCGGAAUCUACUUUUUCGUGGGGGAUAACGUAGGGAAACUUACGCUAAUACCGCAUACGACCUACGGGUGAAAGCAGGGGAUCUUCGGACCUUGCGCGAUUGAAUGAGCCGAUGUCGGAUUAGCUAGUUGGCGGGGUAAAGGCCCACCAAGGCGACGAUCCGUAGCUGGUCUGAGAGGAUGAUCAGCCACACUGGAACUGAGACACGGUCCAGACUCCCACGGGAGGCAGCAGUGGGGAAUAUUGGACAAUGGGCGCAAGCCUGAUCCAGCCAUACCGCGUGGGUGAAGAAGGCCUUCGGGUUGUAAAGCCCUUUUGUUGGGAAAGAAAAGCAGCAGGUUAAUACCCCGCUGUUCUGACGGUACCCAAAGAAUAAGCACCGGCUAACUUCGUG
rnacentral:rRNA from 1 species